rnacentral:rRNA from 1 species
AUUGAACGCUGGCGGCAUGCUUUACACAUGCAAGUCGAGCGGCAGCGCGGGGGCAACCCUGGCGGCGAGCGGCGAACGGGUGAGUAAUGCAUCGGAACGUGUCCCGUAGUGGGGGAUAACGCCGGGAAACCGGCGCUAAUACCGCAUAUGCUCUACGGAGGAAAGGGGGGGACCCGCAAGGGCCUCCCGCUAUGGGAGCGGCCGAUGUCCGAUUAGCUUGUUGGUGAGGUAAAGGCUUACCAAGGCGACGAGCGGUAGCUGGUCUGAGAGGAUGAUACGCCACACUGGGACUGAGAGACGGCACAGACUCCGACGGGAGGCAGCAGUGGGGAAUUUUGGACAAUGGGGGCGACCCUGAGCCAGCCAUGCCGCGUGCGGGAAGAAGGCCUUCGGGUUGUAAACCGCUUUUGUCGGGAAAGAAAAGGCAUUCCCUAAUACGGGGUGUUCUUGACGGUACCGGAAGAAUAAGCACCGGCUAACUACGUGCCAGCAGCCGCGGUAAGAC